UGAGCAUCUUUUCAAGAAUUUUCAACCAGGUGGGAUCGUCAUCGACAACAAGAACACGAAGACCAACAGGAAAAGCAUCCUUUCGAGGGGAAGAGAAACCAUUGUCCAUCAUGGCCGGUACAGAUUCAAGAAUCAAGAAACAAAGACGGAAAGUGCGCUUUCAAGUGAGAUACAGAAGGAAGGAGAGAAAGAGAAAGACAGACAGAGG
rnacentral:misc_RNA from 1 species